AUUUUCCUGUGGCAUAUCUUGUUUCCACAAACAGAAAAAUCUCAUUGAUUUGGAAGUCACCCAUCAGAAUGCCCUUCCCUGUUCCUGAGGACCUAAUAGAAAUAGCAGAGCCUCUCAGAUGUGACCUUAAGGCAUUGAAGAGGCACAGAUCCAGAAAGAAGAAACCACAGAGACCAAGAAGCAAAGCACAGGGAGGAUAAACAGAGAUGAUUUAUUUUCUACCAGCAUUCAUAACCUUCUAUGAUUAAACCUAACUUCAUUAUUCUGCAUUUGUGAAGUGAAUUGUUUACAGUGGAAAAAGGGAGAGAACACUAAACUUCAUGGGGAUGGAAGAUGAUCUAGAGACAAACCAAAGGAUAAUUGAGAAGUGCUGGAAGAAAGACUGAGUUCAAACAAGCUCCAAAGGUGCAUCUCUGCUGAUUUACCUGGUCCUGCUCAGGAGGCCCUCCCAGGAUGCACUUGGGCCAGUGCCUCCAUUGCCCAGUUUCAGAUAUUGUCACCUGAGGUUUUGAUCUCUCCCUGAAUGGAUAUUCAAACUGAAAAUGUCCCGGGUCUCUGUGCUUCUCAAGAUUGAACUUCCCAUGUAGCUUCUCUCAGGCAGCUGUCCUCCUUUGGGAGUGAGUGCCAUUUUCUGGGAAUCCACAGGGGCAGUUGCAUUAGUGGAGGUGGGGAGCAGGACAUGGAUGGUCAACGGUAAUCUACAUCCCAGAAAUGGAAGAUACAGAUCUAAGGAAACGAAGAACAAAGAAAGAACGGACUAAGAUGACUUCAGGGUGCUUUCCUUGACAUCAGAUAUUACUCCCCCUAGAAGAAGCCAAUAGCUAUGUUGUGAAGAUACUUAAGCAGCCAUAUGGAGAGAUUCACAUCAUGAAGAACUAAGACCUUCUUCCAAGAGUCAAUGAGAAACCGAGGCUUCCUGCCAACAAGCAUGUGAGGGCACCAUCUUGUAAGCUGAUCCUCCAGCCCAGUCGAGCCUUCAGAUGAAUGCAACCCUGACUCCUCUCCUGACUGCAACCUUGUCAGAGACCUUGAACCAGACCACCCAGCUAAGCCACAUCUGAAUU